rnacentral:tRNA from 1 species
UUUUGGAUAGCUCAAUUGGUAGAGCAUCGGAACCUUAAUCCGAAUGUUGCGGGUUCGAUUCCCGCUCCGAAAACCA